GUUGGUGUAGCUUAGUAGUUAGAGCGCUGGGAUCUGAAACCAGAUGUUGCAGGUUCAAAUCCUGCUGCCAACA